CUCGAGAAUAUGGCCUUGAGGCUUGAAAACUCAAUUUUUUAAGUUCGCUUAAAGCGCAGUCGCCUAUGAGCCUAUGUGUGUAUAUUUGGAUCGAUACUUUCAAUUUGUUUUAGAUCCACGCUGAUAUAUACUAAGGGUGGAUCACCCAGAUCGAUUAUAUGUUAAACAGGCAGUGAUGCAUUUGGCGGGGGGCUAAGGUCCCCCUCAACAACUUGAAGCAAAUUGCACCACUGCAAAUACUGAACAGUUGCAAAUAGGCGAAAAUUAAAAAAAAGGUUAACAUAAUUCAAUAUCAGUAUA